rfam:Oryza sativa Japonica Group DNA, chromosome 3, cultivar: Nipponbare, complete sequence.
AAUAAAUGCAGUUUUGCAUUAUUCACGUUCAACGUUUGACCGUUCGUCUUAUUUGAAAAUUUUUAUGAUUAGUAAUUUUAUUGCUAUUAGAUGAUAAAACAUGAAUAGUACUUUACGUGUGACUAAAUAUUUUCAAUUUUUUCAUAAAUUUUUCAAAUAAAACGGACGGUCAAAUAUUGGGUACGGAUAUCCAUGGCUACACUUAUU